rnacentral:rRNA from 1 species
UACAGAGGGUGCGAGCGUUGUUCGGAAUUAUUGGGCGUAAAGCGCUUGUAGGCGGCACGUCAAGUCGCGUGUGAAAUCCCCAGGCUUAACCUGGGAAGUGCGCGCGAAACUGACGAGCUUGAGUGCCGGAGAGGGUCGCGGAAUUCCCGGUGUAGAGGUGAAAUUCGUAGAUAUCGGGAGGAACACCAGUGGCGAAGGCGGCGACCUGGACGGACACUGACGCUGAGACGCGAAAGCGUGGGGAGCAAC